UACGUAGGCAGCAAGCGUUGUUCGGAAUUACUGGGCGCAAAGAGUGUGUAGGCGGUUUUCUAAGUUCGGUGUGAAAUCUCCCGGCUUAACUGGGAGGGUGCGCCGGAAACUGGAGGACUGGAGUGCCGGAGAGGAUAGCGGAAUUCCUGGUGUAGCGGUGAAAUGCGUAGAUAUCAGGAGGAACACCUGCGGUGUAGACGGCUAUCUGGACGGUUACUGACGCUGAGACACGAAAGCGUGGGUAGCAAACAGG
rnacentral:rRNA from 1 species